rnacentral:rRNA from 1 species
ACGGAGGGUGCAAGCGUUAUUCGGAAUUACUGGGCGUAAAGGGAACGUAGGCGGCUUUGUAAGUCAGGGGUGAAACCCCACGGCUCAACGGUGGACUUGCCAUUGAAACUGUAGGUCUUGAAUCUUGUAGAGGGAGGCGGAAUUCUUGGUGUAGGGGUGAAAUCCGUAGAUAUCACGAGGAACACCGAUAGCGAAGGCAGCCACCUGGGCAGGCACUGACGCUGAUGCGCGAAAGUGUGGGGAGCGAACAG